rnacentral:rRNA from 1 species
GACGAACGCUGGCGGCGUGCUUAACACAUGCAAGUCGAGCGGCAGCGCGGGGGCAACCCUGGCGGCGAGCGGCGAACGGGUGAGUAAUACAUCGGAACGUGUCCUUAAGUGGGGGAUAGCUCGGCGGAAGCCGGAUUAAUACCGCAUAAGCUCUGAGGAGGAAAGCGGGGGCUCCGUAAGGACCUCGCGCUGUUGGAGCGGCCGAUGUCGGAUUAGCUAGUUGGUGGGGUAAAGGCCCACCAAGGCGACGAUCCGUAGCUGGUCUGAGAGGAUGAUCAGCCACACUGGAACUGAGACACGGUCCAGACUCCUACGGGAGGCAGCAGUGGGGAAUUUUGGACAAUGGGGCAACCCUGAUCCAGCCAUUCCGCGUGAGUGAAGAAGGCCU